rnacentral:rRNA from 1 species
UGGUGGCGAUGGCGAAGAGGUCACACCCGUUCCCAUGCCGAACACGGAAGUUAAGCUCUUCAGCGCCGAUGGUAGUUGGGGGUUUCCCCCUGUGAGAGUAGGACGCCGCCAAGCA